CAGUGGAAUAUGAGCAGAGUACUAGUUAAGAUGUUUUCUGAUACUGUAUUAAGAUUCAUUUCUAAGUUUAUCUGUUGAGUGUAGCUGACUGGGCUCUGGAAUCACAAAAGAGCUGAAAUUGCCCUGAAGCUCUGUGUGAAAAGCUGAGAUGGUGCAGCUGCACUUCAGGAGAAACACCAGCAGAUGUCAGCAGGUGCUCAGCAGAAGAAUCAGCUUUACAUCCUGAUGACUACAGUUCUAUUGGGGAACAAACAGCUGCCUUGUUGGAAGAGAAGGAGCUCCUUUACCUUAGGCAACCCUCCCUGUACAGACAUGCCCUUGUAAAUAACCAGGCAUCAUUGACUUAGAAAGGACAGAACAAGAAUGCUUUCUGUGGAGCUGAAAAACAAGAAAAGUGAG